GGGACCGGUUACCAAUACUGUUUUGCGACCUAGACAUGAAAGACCUGCCCCUUUGCUCUUGUUUGCCUUUAUGCACAGGAGUACUAGCUGAUGAAGGCGCUGACAUAGAUGGACAUCUCUGAAACUAAGGUCGGUUCCCUCCAUGGAACCUAGGCUGGCUAUACUCGUACAGCUCAGAUCCAGCCCUCUUGUUACCCCUCAC
rnacentral:lncRNA from 1 species